rnacentral:rRNA from 1 species
GACGAACGCUGGCGGCGUGCUUAACACAUGCAAGUCGAACGGAAAGGCCCUGCUUUUGUGGGGUGCUCGAGUGGCGAACGGGUGAGUAACACGUGAGUAACCUGCCCUUGACUUUGGGAUAACUUCAGGAAACUGGGGCUAAUACCGGAUAGGAGCUCCUGCUGCAUGGUGGGGGUUGGAAAGUUUCGGCGGUUGGGGAUGGACUCGCGGCUUAUCAGCUUGUUGGUGGGGUAGUGGCUUACCAAGGCUUUGACGGGUAGCCGGCCUGAGAGGGUGACCGGCCACAUUGGGACUGAGAUACGGCCCAGACUCCUACGGGAGGCAGCAGUGGGGAAUAUUGCACAAGGGGCGGAAGCCUGAUGCAGCAACGCCGCGUGCGGGAUGACGGCCUUCGGGUUGUAAACCGCUUUCGCCUGUGACGAAGCGUGAGUGACGGUAAUGGGGAAAGAAGCACCGGCUAACUACGU